GUCUUCAACCUCCCUGGUUUCGACAUGGGUUCAAAACCCCGAUUCGGUCGGUUAAGAAGUAGGAGCGAAUUCGUCUAUCACAGGUAGUCGCUCACCCGCAGGUCUUUCUCAUAUAUAAGCUAAGCCAGGCCAGGAGGGAAUCAAGAAUAUGAAUGUUCAUCUCAAGUAGGGGGGCUUCUAAGCACCAGUAAGGAAGUAAGAAUCCCCAUCGCUGGAGCACUACAGGCCUAACUUAUUAUUCGAUAUAAUGAGAAGGACCUUUAUUGAACUAGAACCCUUAUCCCCAACUGAUCUACCCAGUAAUGUGAUGAGUUCCGACCUCGAAGGCCCAAUCCUUCGUCGUACGGAAUGAGUAUGACUUGGCUACAAGGGAAAGAAUUAAUCCAAGAGAUCUAGCUUCUUGGAGGACCGGUUGUUAGCCCCAUCAUCAUCCCGAGCUUUUCACCGUCGGUCCCAUGACUGCACGAGCCCUAUGAACUAGCUCUUCCGUGUCCGCCGAACUGUACGAUGGAGGGCGUUCAAUUCUAGUAUUGAAUUUUCCCAAGCGGGUGAGCACUGUUAAUGUCUCUAGUAGAUAGACUCUACAAGGAACCUGGCUCAGAGGAAGAAGGACAUUAGUUUGAAGUCUCGAGUCUCUAUCCCCUCUCUAGUGCUGCUUAAAAGGACCGGGUUCCCUACUACCGUGUCAUGGCGAUAUCUGCCUCGAAACCCUCGGCUUGCCUCGUCUCCUAGUGGUGGUUUCCCGUGGAGCGACCGUGAGUCAGGUUCAGGUGGGAGAUAGUACCUCUCCUUCCUCUGCCGGUAUUGAUGGUACUGGAUAUGACGGAAAUUGUAAAGUGAACUUGAACUCCCGUUUUGGAGUUUCUUAGAGUGAUGUUCGAGAUCGCCUCUGUGUGGUUCACCCUAAGUAGCUAACCGAAUCGGAACUGACUGAAAGGACUGCAAAGAGGAUAUAACUGUUUAGAGCCAGAACACUAGAUGGAGAAUAGGCUGCAAGAAAAUAGGUUAUUGUCUCUUUGAAGAGUAUCAUCCAUGGCGAAUGGUAUCGUAUAUAAGAGAAGGGCCGCGC